rnacentral:rRNA from 1 species
CAGCAGCCGCGGUAAUACGAAGGGGGCUAGCGUUGCUCGGAAUGACUGGGCGUAAAGGGCGCGUAGGCGGAUUGUUUAGUUAGGCGUGAAAUUCCUGGGCUUAACCUGGGGACUGCGCUUAAUACAGGCAGUCUAGAGUGAGGAAGAGGGUUGUGGAAUUCCCAGUGUAGAGGUGAAAUUCGUAGAUAUUGGGAAGAACACCAGUGGCGAAGGCGGCUCACUGGACCGACACUGACGCUGAGGCGCGAAAGCGUGGGGAGCAAACAGGAUUAGAUACCCGCGUAGUCCCUGUCUCUUAUAC